UCCAGCAGCCGCGGUAAUACGUUCCCGGGCCUUGUACACACCGCCCGUCACAUCACGAAAGUCGGUUGCACUAGAAGUCGGUGGGUUAACCCGCAAGGGAGGCAGCCGCCUAAAGUGUGAUCGGUAAUUGGGGUGAAGUCGUAACAAGGUAGCUGUAGGAGAACCUGCGGCUGGAUCACCUCCUUUCUAAGGAGCAUCUCGCCCCGGAUCAAAACGGGGUUGCGAGCAAAUGCACCUAGGUCGAAAGGAAUCGGCCCGACGCGCAAGCGUAAAGGGGCAAACGUUUCCUUCGUUGUCUUUCCUCUUCAGUUUUCAGGGCAUCGACGCCCGACGCUUCUUUGAUUUUUGAAUACGGGUUGUAGAUAUAGAGAUGCACGUCAUACGUUUUUAACGUGUGGUAGCUGCAGAUCGCAUGAGAUCAAGGCACUUUAUGGUCAAGUUACUAAGGGUUGACGGUGGAUACCUAGGCACACAGAGGCCUCAGAGUUUUACCGGUCGCACGCACAAACGACGGGCCUAUAGCUCAGAUGGUUAGAGCGCACGCCUGAUAAGCGUGAGGUCGGUAGUUCGACUCUACCUAGGCCCACCAAACUCCAAUGUUGAGUGGCAACUGUUGAAUGUUGAAUGGGA
rnacentral:sRNA from 1 species